rnacentral:tRNA from 1 species
AGAAAGGUAAGCUAAUUUAAGCUCCUGGGUUCAUACCCCAUUUAUAAAGGUCCACCCCUUUCCUCUCUAA